UACGGAGGGUGCGAGCGUUGUCCGGAAUCACUGGGCGUAAAGGGCGCGUAGGCGGCGCGGAUAGUCGGCGGUGAAAGCCCGGAGCUCAACUCCGGGUCGGCCGUCGAUACUUCCGGGCUUGAGCACUGUAGAGGCAGAUGGAAUUCCGGGUGUAGCGGUGGAAUGCGUAGAGAUCCGGAAGAACACCGGUGGCGAAGGCGGUCUGCUGGGCAGUUGUUGACGCUGAUGCGCGACAGCGUGGGGGAGCAAACAGG
rnacentral:rRNA from 1 species